UUCCCUUUAAGAAAGAUGCCUGGAGCCAUUUCAGAGACACAGAGAUACAGAGAGAGUCGUUGACUCAUUUGUGCCUGGCUCACGUUUCGUGGAUUGCGAGGUCAUAGUUCCUCUUUUCGUCUCACCUGGACGCUGUUUCUUAGCAAUGGAUUAUGAUGAAGAGAUCAAGGGCAGUUGGACGGGCCAGGAUUGAUGUGCAACUGAGCAACAACAAAGGUGUUAACUCCUACGCUUAAUCUGUUAUCUGUGAAGCACUUAAACUACAUGAAGCAGUGUUAAAGAUUUCAGAGGAUAUAGUUUCUAAAGCUAUCACUGGUCCUUCUUGAUGAGCUUGCUGAUUUUAUUUCAAAGAAGACACAAUCCUACCUCAAUCUGGAUUCGCAAACUACUCAAUUUCGUGCAGACUCAACUACACAAAAUAAAAAAAAUAAAAAUAAAAAUAAAAAAA